rnacentral:rRNA from 1 species
UCUUAAAUGUAAAAUAAAAUAAAUAAUAUUUUACCGGAGUACUAUGAAUCAAAUAAAAUUUAAAACUCAAAGGGCUUGGCGGUGUUUUAGACCUUUCAGGGGAACCUGUCUCGUAAUCGACAAUCCACGAUAAACCUAACUUCCUUUUGUAAUUCAGUUUGUAUACCGUCGUCGUCAGGUAACUUUUUAAAAUUUAAAAGUUAGCAUAUAAAUUAUUUUAAUUUCAACGUCAGAUCAAGGUGCAGCCUACAAGGAAGUGAAGAUGGGUUACAAUUAUCUAUUAAUAAUAACGAAUAAUUAAAUGAAAAAUAUUUUGAAGGAGGACUUGAAAGUAAAAUAAAUUAGAAAAACAGUUUGAAUAGGGCUCUGAAACGUGC